rnacentral:lncRNA from 1 species
CUUGGAUCUGCAAGAAGGAGUGGAGAGCAGCAGAAGUGGUAAAUUAGAACAUCAUUCAUUCAGGACAUGCUGCAUCUGGGGUUGGCAUCAUUUCCCUUUUGAAUGACAGAAUGUGCAUAAAAGUCUCUUGCCCACGCUGAACUCACACGUGCCCGGCAGGAAGGAGCUCUCACGAAGUGCCAGCUGGAUGUGAGCUUGCUCUGGCAGCAGCAGUGCUGUCCUUGUUUCUGAGCUGCCACCUAUUCACUGGAGUUAGGUGGGUCAAAGCUGAAAUUUAGCUUGGAAUUUAAGUUUCUAAUUUUAUACUUUUCAUUGUGGUCUGGUCAGAUUUUAGUCUGCUUCAAAAUCAAAAGGUCACUCAGUCACUCUAAUAUGAUCAUUUUGAAUAUGGAAAUUUGUUAUUUACAUGCUGUACCUCAAAUCAAAGAAAAAGCACGCGUCAAUAUCACGCGUAGGAAAAACUAGAAAAUUGUUCCUUUUCCAUUUUGCCACCCUGCUCAGUUUUCCUCAUAAACGGUUCCAGCUUGGAAAACAAGAGCUUCCCCUCUCAGACAGAUGCAGCAGCGGGAGGAAGGGCUUUGGUCUUAAACUAGAAGCUGCAGCUGAAACUCUCCCCGUCUAAUCCUGCUGUGUGUAUGGCUCACACCAUCUUUCCUGAGUGGGGAAAACCGCUGGCACUGAAUAGCUGAAAGGCUCGCUGAAAUCUGUGCUUCAAGAACGAGUUAAAGACAAUACAAUAAAACACAUAGACACUGAAGGGGUUCAACUAAUGUCCAUCACUUAUUCUGCUAAUGUCAGUGCCUUUCAAUAAACUUCUCAACAUCUGUGUUGGUAAACUUCUCAAUAUUUGUUCUAGCCCAACCACGGUGACAAAGCUCCCUUGCCCAAAGAUCGUGAGCCUAGACAAAGGUGGAUAAGAAAUAUGAAGUCUAAAGCUAUAGAAUAUAGCAGUUAGUGAAGUAAAUUAAACAUGCCCCUCGCCUGCAUGCUGAUCAGAGUGUUGAAACUGAAGACGACAUUGGCAAAGUGACUCAGACCCACAGCACAGAUUUGAUCAAGGGCACAGCUCAUAAAAAUAGCAACAAUUUCGAAUUCUCCUAUCCAACGUUUAGGAAACAAUCCAAUGGCAAGAAAUGAGAGGAGUUCAAUGCCAACAGUUUGACCUGUGGGCAAUCAACCUAUAAGUCCUCAAAAGAAAAUUUCCUUGCUUUCCCUGGGACCAACAGAGAUG